AUAUAUGCCAGUCUUCUAAUUUAUAUACACUAUCUAGAAAAUUUUUUUGGUUUAAGAAAAUACAUUAUCUGAAAUUCUGAUACUUGAAUCUAUUUUACUGUUAAAAUAAUAGUAUCUUUACAGAAAUCAUGUCAUUUUUUUCUAGUUAGUAACAAACUCUUUGAUAAAUUCUUGAGAACUUUUUAAGGCUACCGUGUGCUAAAAAGCUUGAUCUAAUAAAAGAAAUUCAUUGCUUACCUAUGAAUCCAAGAAUUGAAAAUUCAAUGUAAAACCAAUUAUUUAUAGUGAUAUUAUGUACAAAAUUUGUUAUUUUUGUAAAGUACAUAUAUUUAGCUAUGAUAUCAUCUUCGAGCUGAAAAAAAAAAAAGAAAAAGACAUUAGUAUCUUCAGUGCUUCCACUGAAUAAGUUAUAUUAGCUUGAACUACAAAAAUAUUGUAAAUACACUGAGAAUGUUUUUAGGAGACAAUAUUUUUAUUUUUAGUUCAUUUCACAGAGGAUAUUGAAUGUAUGGUCUUGGCUAGAAGAACAAACAAAUCUGUCUUGGAAGAAGUACAGCCAUAAUCUCCUUAAAAGCGAGGAUGGUGAGACUUCGUCUCAUGUACUGUUGACGUGUUAUCAGGAAGGACCAGCCUCUGAAGAAGAACAUCAUGCUUGGUAAAGUCGAGGACAGCGAAGCGUGGAGUUGUGUUGCCUUCUUGUCUCCCAGUGACAAACAAACCCAUGCACCAUUUUAUAAAAAUGGAUAAUCAAAAGGGAUGAAACAACAGCUGAAAGUGCUAAUGCUCGAAGUGAGACUGGAAGUGCUUGCAAGUGGCUGUCCACGGGAAUGCUGACAAGCGGCUGUUCAAGAGGCUCUGGAUACGCGCCCCACGCGCUCAGUGCAAGUUGGCUUAGCGGCAUAAACGAGGAAAGGGGUUGUGACAAAAGGAUGUCCCAUAGGAAGUGACGCUGGCAAAAACUUCACAUCAAAGGAACUCCCAGAGAUAGAUCACAGCACUGAACUCGCAAAGUUAAACAUGUCGUCGAAGCUGAUCCAAACUCAGGAAGAGAGUACAAGAUUUUCUUUUUUGACAUUUCUGAUGUCAGCAAUGGAAUUUCAAAAGUACAUUAUAUUUCAUGGUCCCGAAGGCAUCGUCACAGACACAGGCAUGGUAACUGCUGAGCUGCUCUGGGCUGUCCGCCUCCACAAAUUGUUGGGAAUUGUUUAAGGUAAAAAAUCUCUUGAAUCCAAGCUUCGCUCCCUUGCAUUGAUAGCUCUUUACUGUGGAUUUGUUUUGGUUCUUGUAAGUAAAUAUUUGUUUUGCUAGAACUGUCAUCAUAAAAUAGGUAAUCUUGUGUCUAAAGGAGAAUUGGAGCCACCUUCUGGGACUCCUGCUAACUACAUCAACAAGCAUUAUGGUCCCUUAUCAUGCCUGUGCUUGUCUGUCUAGCAUAACCUCACUCAAGAAAGUUUGGAAAAUCAGUGGCUACUUUGGGGUUCUUUUGAUCUCUCUGGGUUAACUUUUCUGUGCAGUAAAUUAGAGAACCAAACCUCUUGGAUUAAAAAGUCCAAGUGGGAUGCCUAUCUUGAUAGGUAUAUUCAGGCUUCUAAAAGACAUCACGACAGAAAAAUUGCUUCCCUGCAGAACACUGUCUCUAAAUUAAUUAAGCAGAAUAAAGAAUUACAAUGUCAAAUUUCAGCUCCCGCCUCUCUGCUCCCCAUGCAGGCUGCUACCUCUUUAUACCCUUCUUUGCCUUCCUACACUUCGCAUAACCUUUUAUCUGAACUUUCCUUUUUCCCUUAAAAAAACAGCAAAUAAACCCUUGAAUGAAAUUUCUUUAAAAUUCGCCCCAGCAGUGAUAUUGAAGAUUUCCCUCAUAUCACUUUUGUCCCAUGGACAUGCUCAGAAUUAUGCAGCAUUGUGAAAGAUUUUCCUAAACUCCAUGAGAACCCCUACAAAUUUCCUGAAGAAUUUAAAAUACUUGUUGAAGCCUACCAGCCUGGGAUCCCUGGCUUACGUCAGCUUGUUCACAUGAUUACUGGCCCAGGGGAAGCCCAAUUAUGACUAUAACAAGCAGAAAAGAAAGACCUCAAGGACAGUUUAGCCUUAAAUAUUGGUAAAACGGCCACUGAACUAUUGGGAGACUCUUGGGCCAUGAGUAAAAAACUUCUAGACGCUAUCUCAAAGGUCUUUCCUCCACUAAUUGAAUGUACUAAAAAUACAAAAUAAAGAUGAAAGUGUUUAUGGUUAUCAGACUUGGGCUG